GGUAGAUGGCCGAAUUAGGUGCAGGGUUGUAGCCCCUAGAAUAAAGGUUUAAGUCCUUUUCUUAUCA
rnacentral:tRNA from 1 species